CAUCCUGUGCUGUUCAGAUUUGUUGAGCAGAGGAACAGUUUCUCCAAUGUUGGCACAGAUAUUCAUCUAGCAAUGAAACGGAAGACACCAUAAUGAGAAAUGUACACUCAGAAUUGAAUUUUCAUUGAUUUGAUUUAAAGAACACAAGCAUUUUAAGUCUAAUAAAACUGAAUGACAUUAGAGCAUUUCUAGAAGAUAACAUUACAACUCCCCCAAUGGCUCGUAGAGAGAUUUUCCUACUUCGAAUGGCUCUGUUUACUUCACUUAUCACUAGAAUGAAAUGACAUCUGAAAUAAAAACAAACAACGACAGAUAUAGCUCUUCUAGUUAAUUAAUUACUCAGUACAUUCUAACAAGUUUCACUUUGGCAGUUAAAACCAAGAGCAAUAUAGUAAAGAUUGUAGUCCCGGUUGUAGCAUGCCUGCUGCUACCCACAUGCAUAGCCCUUGUCUUCCUAUGCAAAUUCAAAGGUACAACAUUAAGCGGCUUGUUUUCAACGUGUAAUGUGAUUGUGUAUAUGAAAAGAAAAGUAUCAAUGUCCCACCAGCAGGGAAAUGGCAAAAGAAGGGAAUUCAGAAGAAAGUGAUGUUAGGAUACUUGAGCACCUCCAAUAGACUCGGAGACAAAAAUGAUGAAUUUCCAUUUGUUAGCUUCAAUGACAUUGUUGCCGCAACCGAUAAUUUCUCUGACUGCAAUAUGCUUGGAAGAGGAGGCUUUGGCAAAGUUUACAAGGUAAUGACAGAUUUAACAUAAUAUGCAUUAAAGAAUUUCUAAAGCAGAAGAAAGAAUUUUGGAUUUCAUCGUUUUCAACAUCAGAAGGAUGCAAUCAUGCAGGGAAUAUUGGAAGAUGGCAAGGAAGUUGCUGUCAAAAGGCUUAGUCAAGGUUCUGGGCAAGGUAUUGAUGAAUUCAGAAACGAGGUAGUCCUACUCGUCAAACUACAGCACAGGAAUCUAGUCAGACUGCUUGGUUGCUGUAUUCAUGAAGAAGAGAAGUUACUGAUCUACGAAUACUUGCCUAACAAAAGCCUAGAUGCCUUCCUCUUUGGUAUGCAGACUCUAGAUUACAUAUUGAAGUUCUUACAUUGACAAAAAGGAUAUGGGUCAUGACUAACAACAGUUUGGUUUUAAACUGUCUUCUUGGCAGAUACUUCAAGAACACGUGUACUUGAUUGGCCAACACGGUUCAACAUAAUUAAAGGCAUAGCCAGGGGCAUUCUAUAUCUCCACCAAGAUUCAAGAUUAACAAUAAUUCAUAGAGAUCUUAAAGCAAGUAACAUCUUGUUAGACACAGAAAUGAGUCCCAAAAUAUCAGAUUUCGGUAUGGCAAGAAUCUUCGGGGGAAACCAGCAACUAGCAAACACUACACGUGUUGUUGGGACAUAGUGAGUAAUUCAUGUACUGGUCAAUGCUUGAUAAUGCAACUAUUAUACUUUAAUUUAACUCAAACUGUUGAAUUGUUUAAGCAGCGGUUAUAUGUCUCCUGAAUAUGUGACAAGUGGUGCCUUUUCUGUCAAGUCAGACACAUAUAGCUUUGGUGUUCUUCUCUUGGAGAUUGUAAGUGGUUUGAAGAUUAUCUCAACUCAAUUUAUAAUGGACUUCCCAAACCUUAUAGCUUAUGUAAGUAGCGUGGGAUUCUCAAGUUUUCAAUAAACAUAAACAAAAAAAUAUUAAUUUGAUAGAAAAAAGAUUUACAUUUUUCCAGACAUGGAAGUUAUGGGAAGAGGGAAAUGCAACGAAAUUGGUGGACUCAUUGGUUGCUGAAAGUUGUCCACUCCAUGAAGCUUUUAGGUGUAUUCAUGUAGGACUUUUGUGUGUCCAAGACAAUCCAAAUGCAAGGCCACUCAUGUCAACAGUUGUGUUUAUGUUGGAGAAUGAAACCACAUUGCUUCCAGCACCAAAGGAGCCUGUAUAUUUUUCACCAAGGAAUAAUGAAACUGAAGAAACAAGAAGAAACAUAGAAGGUUUUCUGAAUAUGUCGUGUAUCACAACACUGGAAGGCCGCUAGAUGUUCACACUUCUACCAUGUACAUGUUCAAGCCUUUUAUUAACCAUGUACUGUAGGGUAGGUGAAUUUCAGCAUAGCUGGUCGUAAUAUAUACGAAAUUACAGUCUUCAAAAGGGAUAUAUGUGAACUUACUGUACUGAACACACUGAAUUGAAGCUUGUGGCUUGGAAAAAAAUGUAAAUAAUCUAGAGGUUUGAGAAUUAUAUGGUCAAGUGUCAUAACAAAGAAUGCAAUAAAAUUUCACAUGACAUUGCUUUAAUCUUCAGUUGCUCUAAUGCCAAAAGGUGAAGGGUGCUUAAUCUUUCAGUGCAGUACCUCAUAUGGAUUAUUCGUAGAUUUUUUUCAUAAGAUGUUAUAUUUUUCUAUAAAGCUAGUAAACUUGAGGGGUUCUUUUUCCAUUAGGCCGGUGGUCAUUGGAGACUAGGAAACAGCCAAAGUUAAAUGAAUAAACUGUAGCAAGUUCAGAGUUGUUUUCAGCAUUGUGUAACAUACCUCAUAUGUGGGGUUUUAUUCAAUUUUUUCGAAACAUGCUAUUUGCAUAAGAUGAGCAAAUAAUAAGUACACAGCUGAUUGCAGCUGGUAACCGGCAAAUAGUUUUCUUGGCCAGGUUUACCAUGCCAGAAAUUUAGAUGAUUUACCUCCAACACUAGCUGCAAGUGAAAUUUAGGUUAUUCAGCAAAUCGCCACUGACAGGCAGAGCUCACACAUUCUGCAAAAGCUUCGGAUCACUCCUCUGAAUAUGUAGCACGCCAGGUACAGAUUCAUCAACGUAUGGACACCACGGCACUAGAAUUAGAAGCGAGAGCGAGUCAGCGAGACACCCGGGGUACCUGGCGAAGACGGCGGCCAUGGGACACGGGUGCCGAACUGUGGCGGCGCGAGGCGUCAAGGGUCCGUCUAGCGAUACUACGGAAGAAGGGCGGUGGCGGCGUGGUUACGGUUCCUCCGCCUCAGCUGUCAGCCUCCGCAGUUCCGCACCGCUGAACUUCUGAAGUCUUUGAACGACACCGAUUAGGUGGGCCAG
rnacentral:lncRNA from 1 species